GCGGGCAUAGUUUAGUGGUAAAACCUCAGCCUUCCAAGCUGAUGAUGGGGGUUCGAUUCCCCUUGCCCGCU
rnacentral:tRNA from 3 species